AUUGAACGCUGGCGACAGGCUUAACACAUGCAAGUCGAGCGGAGUGAUGGUGCUUGCACUAUCACUUAGCGGCGGACGGGUGAGUAAUGCUUAGGAAUCUGCCUAUUAGUGGGGGACAACAUCUCGAAAGGGAUGCUAAUACCGCAUACGUCCUACGGGAGAAAGCAGGGGAUCACUUGUGACCUUGCGCUAAUAGAUGAGCCUAAGUCGGAUUAGCUAGUUGGUGGGGUAAAGGCCUACCAAGGCGACGAUCUGUAGCGGGUCUGAGAGGAUGAUCCGCCACACUGGGACUGAGACACGGCCCAGACUCCUACGGGAGGUAGCAGUGGGGAAUAUUGGACAAUGGGGGGAACCCUGAUCCAGCCAUGCCGCGUGUGUGAAGAAGGCCUUAUGGUUGUAAAGCACUUUAAGCGAGGAGGAGGCUCUUUUGGUUAAUACCCAAGAUGAGUGGACGUUACUCGCAGAAUAAGCACCGGCUAACUCUGUGCCAGCAGCCGCAGUAA
rnacentral:rRNA from 1 species